rnacentral:rRNA from 1 species
AUUCCAGCUCCAAUGGCGUAUAUUAAAGUUGUUGCAGUUAAAAAGCUCGUAGUUGGAUUUCUGGCAGGAGCGACCGGUCGGCCCAUUGUGGUGUGUACUAGUGUUGCAUCUGGCCAUAUUUGUGGAGAGCGUGUGUGGCAUUAAUUUGUCGUGCUCGGGACCCGCAUCGUUUACUGUGAGAAAAUUAGAGUGUUCAAAGCAGGCUUAUGCCUUGGAUAUGUUAGCAUGGAAUAAUAAGAUAGGACUAUGGUACUAUUUUGUUGGUUUGUGCACCAUGGUAAUGAUUAAUAGGGACAGUUGGGGGUAUUCGUAUUCCAUUGUCAGAGGUGAAAUUCUUGGAUUUAUGGAAGACAAACUACUGCGAAAGCAUUUACCAAGGAUGUUUUCAUUA